AUGUACAUGAUGUCUCGCCUACUAAAACCCUUUAGUUGCCGUGCCGUGAACUAUUCAUUUUUUUGCAGAGUUUCCAGCUCCGGGCGCCGAUAUAUUUAUCUAGGCAAUCAGAGACCUUAGUUUAUUAACUUGACCUAAAAAUUCUUCCUCUUCUUUACUCUCCCUCCGGACCGUUCAGUGCUUACAUGUAUAUGCGAUUCUUGGCGGUAGUCUUCGACAGGAGUGUAAUGCUAUAUCUGUGAUGAAAGCUAGAAAAUUGAGGUUGUCUAAGCAUAAUGUGUGUACCAUGUGUGAGGGAUUCAGUUCUUGGAAUUGUGGUGGACUCCAGACAUGCUCUAAAUUUUUAAGGUUUUUGGGUUCUUUAUUUCAGCAGUAUGCAUUCUCCUGUUAUAUGUAGUUGCUCUAAAAUAAAAUAAAGCAAAUUCAUGUGUGAACCUUACUUUUAUUUACAUCCUAAUCAGGUUUCCCUUCUUGUCAAUUAUGAUAGCCCUUCAUAAGUCGAUCUUAUUCUCAUAUGAAUUAACAGAGCAAUAGACUGUGUAUGAGAACUACCUUAGACUUUUGGGGUUAGGGAGAUCUUUUCUGAAACUUAUGUAACAUAUUCUUUGUAAACUGAUAGUUGUCACAUUUAUCGUUCUUGCAUUUUGUGGACUUCAAACAACCUUUCUUUUAAUCAAUUCUUUCACUCCUUUUGCUUUUAGAAUUUUCUUGUUGAUAUUAAAGGACCUUCAUUGGGUUUUUUGCCUGUGCUUGCAUUCGAAGGAGGAACCAGGAGAAACAUACCGAAGUUUGGGGCAAGUACUUUGCUUUACGUCCGGGUUGUGAAGGCGAAUUCUGGCAUGACUCCUGAGUUGUCAUGCUCUGAUGGCAGGUCUUACCAUGCUAUAUCAGUGACUAUUGACUUGUUAAUUUUUUUUUUUACUUGUGCUAUGUUUGUUGUGAUUUAGCCGGUGCCGGUGGAAAAGUAGCAUAAUUUGGACCCCUUAAAAUGGAUAUUGAGUGCUCAAUAGGCCUUUCAAGAACGUGAGAUGUGGUAACCUUUUUCUAUUAUUACAAGAUAAAUGGUUAUGACAAAAUACAUAACCAGCCUUUCUGUUUCUGUACACAUGUUCUCUGGUGAAUUUAUUAUGUUGGCAUAUGGUCUUCUCCUUGACUAGAUCUCGAGGCCUUUAGAAAGAACAUUUCUUUUGAGGUAGCAGUUGGAUUAAAUGGCCGUUAGCAACUGCUUCUUUGUGAUUACCCAAGAGCGUAUACCUAUAAUUUAUUCCUACAAAAUCUGAGGUUCGAGUUACUUAGCAAUUGCUAUAGGUUUUUGCUCUUAAAAUAUUGUAAAAUUAGGUAAGGAGCCUAAUUUAAAAGAAAAAUUGUCUUUUACCUUUAUUUGUGGCUUGAGUAUCAAUUGUUUCUAUAUUGAUCUCAUGUUGAUGGAGGUUUAUUAGCUGGGUGAUUAAGCUGGAUUAAUCUAAAUAUGAAAUGUGAUAGGGUUAUUGACAUAUUUUUAAUGUCGUUCGGUCUAAAUUUGGUCUAGUCCACAAUUAUAUUAUUUUAUAGAGAUUCUUUUUAUGAAGGAUCUUCCUCAUAUUUACAUGGGAGAUCAAAUGAGAUAUUUUUGUUAGAUGCUUUAGCAAUUAGAAUCAGUCUUCACCGUGGGCUUCUACUUAAUUGAGUGAAGUCAGUCCUAAGCUGGCCGUGACGUGCUUUCAUAUCGCUAAUUGACAUAUGUCCGAGUUCACGUGGCUGAUCAUAAAUCAUAAAUGUGAUUAUUUUUGUAUAACUGCAUAGUUGUGUAAUUGUAUAGGUAUUUUAAUAUUAUUUGUUGACACAAUUUCAAUAAGAGGUA